UUGAAGACGACGACGUUGAUAGGCCGGGUGUGUAAGCGCAGCGAUGCGUUGAGCUAACCGGUACUAAUGAACCGUGAGGCUUAACCUUAC
rnacentral:rRNA from 1 species